GAUGAACGCUAGCGGCAGGCCUAAUACAUGCAAGUCGAACGGUGUCUUCGGACAUAGUGGCGCACGGGUGCGUAACACGUAUGCAACCUACCUUACAUUGGGGGAUAGCCUUUCGAAAGGGAGAUUAAUACCGCAUAAGACAGUAGCUGGGCAUCCAGCAGCUGUUAAAGAUUUAUCGAUGUAAGCUGGGCAUGCGUCCAAUUAGCUAGUUGGUGAGGUAACGGCUCACCAAGGCAAUGAUUGGUAGGGGAACUGAGAGGUCAAUCCCCCACACUGGCACUGAGAUGCGGGCCAGACUCCUACGGGAGGCAGCAGUAGGGAAUAUUGGGCAAUGGACGCAAGUCUGACCCAGCCAUGCCGCGUGCAGGAUGAAGGCGUUAUGCGUUGUAAACUGCUUUUAUACAGGAAGAAACGACUCUUGCGAGAGGCAUUGACGGUACUGUAUGAAUAAGCACCGGCUAACUCCGUGCCAGCCGCCGCGGUAA
rnacentral:rRNA from 1 species